rnacentral:rRNA from 1 species
CAAAUUUGAAAUCUGGCACCUUCGGUGUCCGAGUUGUAAUUUGAAGAAGGUAACUUUGGAGUUGGCUCUUGUCUAUGUUCCUUGGAACAGGACGUCACAGAGGGUGAGAAUCCCGUGCGAUGAGAUGUCCAACUCUAUGUAAAGUGCUUUCGAAGAGUCGAGUUGUUUGGGAAUGCAGCUCUAAGUGGGUGGUAAAUUCCAUCUAAAGCUAAAUAUUGGCGAGAGACCGAUAGCGAACAAGUACAGUGAUGGAAAGAUGAAAAGAACUUUGAAAAGAGAGUGAAAAAGUACGUGAAAUUGUUGAAAGGGAAGGGUUUGAGAUCAGACUUGGUAUUUUGUAUGUCUUGCUUUCGGGUGGGGCCUCUGCAGUUUACUGGGCCAGCAUCGGUUUGGACGGUAG